rnacentral:rRNA from 1 species
ACAAGCGAAGCUUUGAAUUGAAGCCCCGGUGAACGGCGGCCGUAACUAUAACGGUCCUAAGGUAGCGAAAUUCCUUGUCAGGUAAAUUCUGACCCGCACGAAAGGUGUAAUGAUCCCUUCGCUGUCUCGGCUGCAGACUCGGUGAAAUUUUAGUACCGGUGAAGAUGCCGGUUACCCGCAACUAGACGGGAAGACCCCGUGGAGCUUUACUAUAACUUGAUAUUGAAAUUUGGUGUAACGUGUAGAGGAUAGGUGGGAGACUAUGAGACCAGGACGCCAGUACUGGUGGAGUCAACCUUGGAAUACCACCCUCGUUACAUUGGGUUUCUAACUUCGACCCGUUAUCCGGGUUAAGGACAGUGUCUGGUGGGUAGUUUGACUGGGGCGGUCGCCUCCCAAAAAGUAACGGAGGCGCUCAAAGGUAUCCUCAGUAUGGUUGGAAAUCAUACAUAGAGCGCAAAGGUAGAAGGAUGCUUAACUGCGAGACUUACAAGUCGAACAGAUACGAAAGUAGGACUUAGUGAUCCGGCGGUCCCGAGUGGAAGGGCCGUCGCUCAACGGAUAAAAGUUACCCCGGGGAUAACAGGCUUAUCUCCCCCAAGAGUUCACAUCGACGGGGAGGUUUGGCACCUCGAUGUCGGCUCAUCGCAUCCUGGAGCUGUAGUCGGUUCCAAGGGUUGGGCUGUUCGCCCAUUAAAGCGGUACGCGAGCUGGGUUCAGAACGUCGUGAGACAGUUUGGUCCCUAUCUGUUGUGGGCGUAGGAAAAUUGAAGAGAGCUGUUCCUAGUACGAGAGGACCGGAAUGGACGCACCCCUGGUGCUCCUGUUGUCACGCCAGUGGCAUAGCAGGGUAGCUAUGUGCGGACAGGAUAAUCGCUGAAGGCAUCUAAGCGAGAAGCCCCCUUUAAGAUGAAUUUUCCCAUUUGUAAGAUGUAAGAUCCCAUGUAGACCACAUGGUUGAUAGGAUGGAUGUGUAAGCGCUGUGAGGUGUUAAGCUAACCAUUACUAAUAGAUCGAGUGAAUUUUUAGA